AGGAUGAACGCUGGCGGCGUGCCUAACACAUGCAAGUCGAACGUCCUGUCUCGCAAGAGGCAGGGAGUGGCGGACGGGUGAGUACCACGUGGGUCAUCUACCGUGAGGUGAGGAAUACCGGCGAGAAAUCGCCGACAAGACCGCAUAGCCUCGGUGCAAGCCGAGGAAAGCUCUCUCGAGAGAGGGAGCGCCACACGAGGAGCCUGCGCCCGAUUAGCUAGCUGGUGGAGUAACGGUUCACCAGGGCGACGAUCGGUAGCUGGUCUGAGAGGACGAUCAGCCACACUGGGAUUGAGAACGGCCCAGACUCCUACGGGGGGCAGCAGUGAGGAAUUUUCGUCAAUGGGGGCAACCCUGAACGAGCAACGCCGCGUGCAGGAAGAAGGUUUUCGGAUCGUAAACUGCUUUUCUCGGGGAAGAGAACGGACGGUACCCGAGGAAUCAGCCCCGGCUAACUACGUGCCAGCAGCCGCGGUAA
rnacentral:rRNA from 1 species